GACGAACGCUGGCGGCGUGCUUAACACAUGCAAGUCGAACGGAAAGGCCCUUCGGGGUGCUCGAGUGGCGAACGGGUGAGUAACACGUGGGUGAUCUGCCCUGCACUUUGGGAUAAGCCUGGGAAACUGGGUCUAAUACCGAAUAUGAUCAUCGGCUUCAUGGUCGGUGGUGGAAAGCUUUUGCGGUGUGGGAUGGGCCCGCGGCCUAUCAGCUUGUUGGUGGGGUAAUGGCCUACCAAGGCGACGACGGGUAGCCGGCCUGAGAGGGUGGCCGGCCACACUGGGACUGAGAUACGGCCCAGACUCCUACGGGAGGCAGCAGUGGGGAAUAUUGCACAAUGGGCGCAAGCCUGAUGCAGCGACGCCGCGUGAGGGAUGACGGCCUUCGGGUUGUAAACCUCUUUCAGCACAGACGAAGCGCAAGUGACGGUAUGUGCAGAAGAAGGACCGGCCAACUACGUGCCAGCCGCCGCGGUAACAC
rnacentral:rRNA from 1 species